rnacentral:lncRNA from 1 species
ACGUAGCAUCCAGGUGUGUUGAAGGAAAGAGGGGGGAAUUACACGCAUCUCUUUUAUUUUCUCUCUCUCUCUCUCUCUCUCAAAAACGAACAAACCCAUUCGCGUUUUCUCUACCGGAAACCCAUCUCUUUCUUUUUCCUCUCGUCUCUGUUCUUCUCUACCGAGCCAACCCGUCCCAGCCCUCACGACCGACGCCUCCAUCCGGUACCAGAAUCGUCGCUGUUCGAUUCCGUUCGGAGCUUCUACCGCCAACCGCGAAGCCAACUCGCCCGACGCUUUCUCUUCCUUCUGUUGGUGAAGAAAAUCCAGGCAAGUUGGGCUACUAAUAAGGUCUUGGGUUCAUGGAUUAGCCUUGCCCUGCUGUGCGAGUCGAUUUCGGACUCGGUAUUGUGAUUUAGGGCAGAAAUUGGGCGCAAAAAGCUCUGUCCAGAGCUGGGUUGGGGAACGUAUGGUUCGUUACUGUCUGGAUGUUGAGUGUAGUGCUGUUUUUGGAGUUGAGGGUGUUCAGAUAAAUUCAUUGUAGCUCGGCAUGUGUGAUUUAUGGACUGAGAUUGCUGUUUAAGUCCAAGAUUUGGAAACUGGAAUGCAUGUUUUGGGUUUUGCUGCUGUUUUCCAGAACUGAGAACUCUUGAUCUUGCUGGUCUGUCAAUUUUGUGUGGCUUGUUGUGUCGAGAUUUGGGUGAAACUUCUUUUAGGAAAGUUGUGCAAGAUACCUUAAACUAUGACAUAUAUUUUUCGUGGAUUUUUCUGGGGUUAAAUAGUCAAUAUAUGGACAUAACUUUCAAGCGGGUGUAUGCUGUACAGAACUGCAGUACAUGUGACUCUGUAACCUUGCGAAUUUUCUAUAGAAAUUUCUAGCUUGAUUCUGGUCACGAUUUCUUCAUGAAAGUUGUAGCCAACAUCCUCAUGUAUGACAUAUAAAAAUUUCGUAGAAUUUGGUGAAGUUUUAGGUACUGAAACAUACUCUUAAUUGUGCACACUCAUACUGGAAAACAGUUCAGGUUGUGAGUCUUAGUUGAGUGAUUUACUGCUCUCUGUACAGAAAUAAUUAGGUUCAGCAUCCUCCAUGGAAAAUGUUUAUUAAUGUCUUAUUUAUGAUAUACUAAAAUUUUGGGAUCUUUCAAGCCCAUUUCAUAUGAUUUUCAAAUUAAUUCCUGAAAGUAUGCAUUCUGGUUGAGGUUGCCCAUAUUCUGAGUUUGUUGAAAUUCAUGGGAAGGUGAAUGGAUUCCAGGUUAUGGUUUUGAUGGUGUUGCGUAUGACAUAUUGUUUGAUGUGGUGAUUUUGAUCUCAAUAAGACAUUGGUUAAUUAGGAAUUUAAUGAGAUAGUUUGCGAUACCCAAGUUUGUUUAAGUCUAGGACUUAUACUUGACUUUAGAAAAGCGAGAGCUGUUUGUGCAUUGAAGUUGCUGAUGCUGCAACAAGGAGGAACUAUGAAUGUAUGAUUGGCUAGUGAGCCAAUGUGAGACCCCGGGUGUCGGGAUGCCUGGAGAGGGGUGAUGAAGAAUAGUGGUAUUCUCUCCAGAGGUCUGAGAAGGGCUGAAUAGCUUCUCAGGGGACCUCGUGAUGCCAGGUUGGGUGCGAGGGGGUUCAGGGUGGAGUGUCGUCUCCCCCUGGGUGAUAUUUGCAGCUAGGUUUCUGUGGAUUCAAUAACUUGAUGAUUUGGUUUACUUGUUUGUAUUGUUUUUGGCCAAUCCAGGUUAGGACUAACCGCCCACUUGCUGAGUUUUUUUUUAAAAAAACUCACACUUGUUAAUUUGUUGUUUCUUCAGAGUAGAAGAUGUCGACUGCACCGCCUACCCCGCCUGCUGCCAUGACGACCAUCCUCUACGGCUCUCCCGCCGACUUUGUUUGGCGGCAAGAGGACUUCCAGGACCACCAUUUCCCGGGAGUUGUAUUUGUCAAAUGCACCUCGUGUUUGACAAUAGACACAGGGGCGCCUACGGGACCGGCUUACAUGGUCUUCGUGGCCCUUUACGCUCGGGUUGAUGGACGGUUGGUGGGACCCUUGCAGCUGUACGAUGAUGGGCCGGGGCAGGGUGGUAGUCCUGCGGAGUAGGAGGUGUAGAGAGGUGCCGAACGUGUGGGAGGAUUUUUGGUUUUAGUUGUUUAACAACAUGUACAUAACAAAUGAGAGGCGGAAUAGUUAGUGUUCGUAGUAUAUGGUGUUUUUUUGUAGAAAUUCCCCUCUCAAAUCUCAUCUUCCCCACAUGUAAAUGAAGGAACCAAGUUUAUAACAAAUAGAGCCAAGUAGCUCAGUUUCUUAUGUCCUCGCUUGAUUUGAAUCUAUUCAUUUAUUUUAUAUAAUUCAUGAAGUAUAAAUAAAUAUUGAAUGAAAUCAAGGUAUAUGAGAUCCUGGUUGUCACAUUGAGUGGUAUCAGAGCUUGGAUUUAGUUGGAGUGAUAAGGUUUAGGAUUUUAGAUGAAUGCUAGUGUACCUAAGUGUCUAGACAUGAUUGUCCAUGUAAAUUUGGACAAUUAUUGCUUUGAGCAGUUAGUUUUAUAACUGUGUGGUUUGGGUAACGUGAGAAUAUUGCGUUACUUUUAACUAAUAGCAUAAAUUUCUAACCCCUAAUGUGGGUAAUGUGCAGAAAGUUUAGGAGAAAGAUGGUGCGAUCAAGGAGCUCGUCUCCGCCGAGGAGAGAAGUGACUGAGUCAGGGGCGGCUGCAUCAGGGACAGGGCCGAGGAUGGAGGAUGUGUUGCAAGCGUUAGUUUCUUUGGGGAAUUUGGUGGAGAGACAGGCCCAAAUUCCAUUGCAACAACCACCUCUGCCGCCUCCCCAACAGCCACUUCUGGCGGAGCAUCGCACCCAGGGACUGGUAGAGCAGUUCCUGAAAUUAAAGCCACCAAAAUUCUCGGGAAUAGGACGUCCCGAGGAAGCUGAGCAGUGGAUUGAUAGUAUGGAAAGAAUUUUCAAAUUGCUUGGUUGCAAUGACCAAGAUAAGAUGACACUUGCUGAAUAUCAGUUGGAGGGGAACGCCAUGUAUUGGUGGAGAGCAUCAAAGAAUACCAUAUUUCCAACAGGUACGGAAAUGGUAUGGGAUGAGUUCGUGAAAGCUUUUUACAAGAAACAUUUUUCUGAGUGUGCGAAGGAUCGGAAGAUAACUGAGUUUGUCCAAUUGAGUCAAGAGGGAUUAACUGUAGACCAAUACGAGGCAAGAUUUUCAGAACUUUCUAGGUAUGCUCCUAAAUUGAUCGAAGAUCCUGAGGAUAAAGCAAAGAGGUUCUGAAUGGCCUAAGGACUAAUAUUAGGAAGCAGUUAGUACCUUUGGGUAUAAGGGAUUAUAAUGAAGGGUAUGCUCGAGCCCAAUGGGUUGAGCAAGAGCUCAUUAGAGAAGAGAUGGAGGAGAAGGAAAAGGUCAAAUCGGGGCUACAAGGAGUCACAAGGGAUGUGCGUAGCGGUAAGCGACCUUUUCCAUCUCGGGAUACACCUUGGAGUUCCAAGAAGAGGCCCACUUAUGGAAGUUCUGGAGGGACAAGUAAAGGACAAUACAUGAAUCGGGCUAUAUUUCAAAAUGACUUGUGUCAACGAUGUAACCGGCGACAUGGACCAGGGCCUUGCCUCGAUUCCUUGAGAUGUUAUAAGUGUGGACAGGAGGGUCAUUUCAAAAGAGAAUGUCCCCAAGGGAGACAACAAGCUAACAUUAAUCAGUUGCAUCAUGCGCCGCCACGCCCGAGGGGAACAAUUCCACCAGGAAGGACGCAAAGACCGCCAGCAAAAGGAAAAGUGUAUGCUAUGACUCAGGAGGAAGCGGAAGCUUCCGAGACCGUUAUCACAGGUAUGAUUUCCUUGAAUGAUCAAAAGGCUUAUGCAUUAUUUGAUCCGGGCGCGACCCAUUCCUUUAUUGCUGAAAGAUAUAGAAGAUUACAUAAUCUAGAAGUGACACCUCUUGUAACACCUCUCUGUGUUUCCACACCAUUAAGGGAUGAAGUAUUGUCUACAUUAGUUUGUGAAAAUUGUGAAAUCUCAAUAGGGGGAAGGACACAUUCUAUCGAUUUGGUAGAAAUAGGUAUGUAUGACUAUGACACCAUUAUAGGCAUGGACUGGCUUAGUAAGCAGCGAGCUAUUGUAGAUUGUUAUAGAAAAAAGAUUCAGUUUAACCCCUCUGGCGAACCUCAUUAUGAGUUCCUGGGAAAUAAACUGACCCUCUCUAUGACUUUUAUUUCGGCAAUGGAAGCACAUAGACUCUUAGAUGGGGGAUGUCAAGGAUAUUUAGCAAUGGUUAAGGAUCAAGAAAAGGAAGAGGCGAAGCUAGAGGAAAUUAGUGUAGUAUGUGAAUUUCCUGAUGUUUUUCCAGAAGAACUCCCUGGAUUACCCCCAGACAGAGAGGUUGAGUUUGCUAUUGAGAUACUUCCAGGGACGGAACCUGUAUCAAAAGCUCCAUAUCGCAUGUCUUUGACAGAAUUGAAGGAACUAAAAAUUCAGCUACAAGAAUUAUUGGAUAAGGGAUUUAUAAAACCUAGUGUAUCUCCAUGGGGGGCACCAGUCCUGUUUGUGAAAAAGAAGGAUGGAUCAAUGCGUCUUUGCAUUGAUUAUAGGAAAUUGAACCAAGUUACAGUUAAGAAUAAAUACCCCCUACCAAGGAUUGAUGAUCUAUUUGAUCAACUAGCUGGUAGUUCGGUCUUUUCAAAAAUUGAUUUGAGGUCUGGAUACCAUCAAUUAAGAGUUAGAGAGGAAGAUGUCCCCAAAACAGCUUUUAGAACUCGGUAUGGGCAUUAUGAAUUUCUAGUUAUGCCCUUCGGUCUGACCAAUGCACCUGCUGCUUUCAUGGAUCUGAUGAAUAGAAUAUUUAUAUCUUAUCUGGAUAAAUUUGUGAUUGUUUUUAUAGAUGACAUUUUGGUAUAUUCAAAAGGGUUAGAAGAGCACAAAGAACAUCUACGAAUUGUACUACAGACCCUUAGAGAACACAAAUUAUAUGCCAAAUUUAGUAAAUGUGAGUUUUGGUUAGACCAAGUAGCAUUCUUGGGUCAUGUGGUGUCGGAAAAAGGAUUAACAGUGGACCCAGCGAAGAUUGAGACCGUAGUUGAAUGGCCAAGACCCACUACACCGACAGAGAUUCGGAGUUUCUUAGGGCUUGCAGGGUAUUAUCGGAGAUUCAUAGAAGGAUUCGCACGACUUGCAAGUCCCUUGACCCACUUAACUAAGAAGAGUGUGAAAUUUGAAUGGAAUGAUAAGUGUGAACAAAGUUUUCAGGAACUUAAAAGAAGGUUGACCUCGGCACCAAUUUUAACUCUACCUUCAGGAUCUGGUGGAUUCACGGUGUAUAGUGAUGCUUCCCACCAAGGACUCGGUUGUGUCUUGAUGCAACAUGGAAAGGUCAUAGCUUAUGCAUCGAGACAGCUGAAACCUUAUGAAAAGAACUAUCCUACCCAUGAUUUAGAGUUGGCUGCGAUUAUUCUCGCAUUAAAAAUCUGGAGACAUUAUUUAUAUGGGGAGAAAUUUGAAAUUUACACCGACCAUAAAAGUUUGAAAUAUUUAUUUUCGCAAAAGGAGCUAAAUAUGAGGCAAAGAAGAUGGGUGGAGUUAUUUAAGGAUUAUGAUUGCGAAAUAGUGUACCAUCCAGGGAAAGCUAAUAAGGUGGCAGAUGCUCUUAGUCGUAAGUCAGCUGCGACUAUGACACAUUUAAGGGUGAAAGAAUGGAAUCUUUUAGAGACCAUUGCCAACUCCGAAUUUAGAUUAGAGGUAGAUCAUCUUUCAGGUGUAUUGGCAAUGUUGAGAAUCGAACCGCGGAUGAUUCAAAGAAUACAAAUCCUACAACAGUCGGACCCGAGACUGUUAAAAAUUCGGGAUGAAGUGCAAAGUGGAAGUAAGGAGGAAUUUCAGUUAUCUGAGGACGGAAUUGUCAGAUAUCGAGGACGUCUUUGUGUGCCAAAAGAUAAGGAACUUAGGAGGGAAAUAUUGUCAGAGGCACAUAAGAGUGCUUAUAGCAUCCAUCCCGGAGGCACAAAAAUGUACCGAAAUUUGAGGCAACACUACUGGUGGAAUGGUAUGAAAAAUGACAUCGCUAGAUUUGUUUCUCAAUGCCUGACUUGUCAACAAGUGAAAGCUGAACAUCAAAAGCCUGCUGGACUAUUGAAACCCCUAGAUAUUCCAGAAUGGAAAUGGGAGCAUGUUACUAUGGACUUUGUGCAGGGACUCCCAAGGACCUCUAGUGGACAUGAUUCAAUAUGGGUAAUAGUGGAUCGCCUGACCAAAUCUGCUCACUUUAUAGCAGUUCGAACAGAUUAUUCAAUUGAUAAGUACGCAGAAAUAUAUGUGAGACAAAUUGUCCGUCUACACGGUGUUCCUGUGACUAUCACUUCUGAUCGGGACCCAAGAUUUACCUCAAAACUUUGGCAGAGCUUACAAGUUGCUUUAGGAACUAAGCUCCAGUUUAGUACAGCCUUUCAUCCUCAGACUGACGGACAAUCUGAAAGGGUAAUCCAAAUUUUGGAAGACAUGCUAAGAGCCUGUGUGUUGGAUUUUAAAGGAAACUGGGAUGAAAAAUUAUCUUUGGCGGAAUUUGCGUAUAAUAAUAGUUUUCAACAAAGUAUUGGAGUUGCCCCAUUUGAGGCACUGUAUGGGAGAGCUUGUAGAACUCCAAUAUGCUGGAAUGAGGUAGGCGAGCGAAGAUUAACUGGGCCGGAAUUAGUCCAAGUCACAGUAGAUGCUGUGAAAACUAUUAAGGAGCGACUAAGAACUGCCCAAAGUCGACAGAAAAGCUAUGCAGACAAACGCAGAAGACCUUUGGAAUUUGUUGUGGGAGAUAAAGUUCUUCUCAAAGUCUCACCGGUUAAAGGCGUGUCGAGAUUUGGUAAAAAGGGCAAAUUGAGUCCCCGUUUUAUUGGACCAUUUGAAAUACUUGAUAGGAUUGGGGAAGUAGCCUACAGAUUAGCCUUACCCCCAAAGUUAGCAGGCAUACAUGACGUGUUUCAUGUUUCCAUGCUAAGAAAAUAUCAUCCCGACCCUACUCAUGUAUUGGACUACGAAACCAUUGAAGUAGAUCAAAACGUGAACUAUACAGAAGAACCUGUGCAAAUUUUGAAACGAAGAGAGCAAGUGUUGAGGACAAAAGUGAUUCCACUAGUUAAGGUGUUAUGGCGACAUCAUGGCCUUGAAGAAGCGACAUGGGAAAGAGAAGAAGAAAUCCGUCAACGAUACCCACAUCUGUUUAGUUAGUGUAUAAUUUCGAGGACGAAAUUUCUUAAGAGGGGAAGAAUUUGUGACGCCCCAAAAAUUACAUUAGUAGAUUAAGUGUAUUAAAGACUUUAUAUAUAUAUACAUGUAUAUGUUUAUGUAUAUGUAUAUAUAUUUGUAAAUAAUGAAUAAAAUAGUAAUAACCUAGAAAAAUAAAUCAAAACUCAAAAAGGAAUAUUUUUUUGAAAGAUUUUCAUCCGUAGAGUAACAGUAAAAUCCCACCACUUCUCCCCAUGUGUUAAAGAAAAAAAAAAAAAAAAAAAAAAAAAAAAAAAAAAAACAGAAAAGAAGAUUUGCACCGCUUGCUUUGCUUUACCCACGUAGCAUCCAGGUGUGUUGAAGGAAAGAGGGGGGAAUUACACGCAUCUCUUUUAUUUUCUCUCUCUCUCUCUCUCUCAAAAACGAACAAACCCAUUCGCGUUUUCUCUACCGGAAACCCAUCUCUUUCUUUUUCCUCUCGUCUCUGUUCUUCUCUACCGAGCCAACCCGUCCCAGCCCUCACGACCGACGCCUCCAUCCGGUACCAGAAUCGUCGCUGUUCGAUUCCGUUCGGAGCUUCUACCGCCAACCGCGAAGCCAACUCGCCCGACGCUUUCUCUUCCUUCUGUUGGUGAAGAAAAUCCAGGCAAGUUGGGCUACUAAUAAGGUCUUGGGUUCAUGGAUUAGCCUUGCCCUGCUGUGCGAGUCGAUUUCGGACUCGGUAUUGUGAUUUAGGGCAGAAAUUGGGCGCAAAAAGCUCUGUCCAGAGCUGGGUUGGGGAACGUAUGGUUCGUUACUGUCUGGAUGUUGAGUGUAGUGCUGUUUUUGGAGUUGAGGGUGUUCAGAUAAAUUCAUUGUAGCUCGGCAUGUGUGAUUUAUGGACUGAGAUUGCUGUUUAAGUCCAAGAUUUGGAAACUGGAAUGCAUGUUUUGGGUUUUGCUGCUGUUUUCCAGAACUGAGAACUCUUGAUCUUGCUGGUCUGUCAAUUUUGUGUGGCUUGUUGUGUCGAGAUUUGGGUGAAACUUCUUUUAGGAAAGUUGUGCAAGAUACCUUAAACUAUGACAUAUAUUUUUCGUGGAUUUUUCUGGGGUUAAAUAGUCAAUGUAUGGACAUAACUUUCAAGCGGGUGUAUGCUGUACAGAACUGCAGUACAUGUGACUCUGUAACCUUGCGAAUUUUCUAUAGAAAUUUCUAGCUUGAUUCUGGUCACGAUUUCUUCAUGAAAGUUGUAGCCAACAUCCUCAUGUAUGACAUAUAAAAAUUUCGUAGAAUUUGGUGAAGUUUUAGGUACUGAAACAUACUCUUAAUUGUGCACACUCAUACUGGAAAACAGUUCAGGUUGUGAGUCUUAGUUGAGUGAUUUACUGCUCUCUGUACAGAAAUAAUUAGGUUCAGCAUCCUCCAUGGAAAAUGUUUAUUAAUGUCUUAUUUAUGAUAUACUAAAAUUUUGGGAUCUUUCAAGCCCAUUUCAUAUGAUUUUCAAAUUAAUUCCUGAAAGUAUGCAUUCUGGUUGAGGUUGCCCAUAUUCUGAGUUUGUUGAAAUUCAUGGGAAGGUGAAUGGAUUCCAGGUUAUGGUUUUGAUGGUGUUGCGUAUGACAUAUUGUUUGAUGUGGUGAUUUUGAUCUCAAUAAGACAUUGGUUAAUUAGGAAUUUAAUGAGAUAGUUUGCGAUACCCAAGUUUGUUUAAGUCUAGGACUUAUACUUGACUUUAGAAAAGCGAGAGCUGUUUGUGCAUUGAAGUUGCUGAUGCUGCAACAAGGAGGAACUAUGAAUGUAUGAUUGGCUAGUGAGCCAAUGUGAGACCCCGGGUGUCGGGAUGCCUGGAGAGGGGUGAUGAAGAAUAGUGGUAUUCUCUCCAGAGGUCUGAGAAGGGCUGAAUAGCUUCUCAGGGGACCUCGUGAUGCCAGGUUGGGUGCGAGGGGGUUCAGGGUGGAGUGUCGUCUCCCCCUGGGUGAUAUUUGCAGCUAGGUUUCUGUGGAUUCAAUAACUUGAUGAUUUGGUUUACUUGUUUGUAUUGUUUUUGGCCAAUCCAGGUUAGGACUAACCGCCCACUUGCUGAGUUUUUUUAAAAACUCACACUUGUUAAUUUGUUGUUUCUUCAGAGUAGAAGAUGUCGACUGCACCGCCUACCCCGCCUGCUGCCAUGACGACCAUCCUCUACGGCUCUCCCGCCGACUUUGUUUGGCGGCAAGAGGACUUCCAGGACCACCAUUUCCCGGGAGUUGUAUUUGUCAAAUGCACCUCGUGUUUGACAAUAGACACAGGGGCGCCUACGGGACCGGCUUACAUGGUCUUCGUGGCCCUUUACGCUCGGGUUGAUGGACGGUUGGUGGGACCCUUGCAGCUGUACGAUGAUGGGCCGGGGCAGGGUGGUAGUCCUGCGGAGUAGGAGGUGUAGAGAGGUGCCGAACGUGUGGGAGGAUUUUUGGUUUUAGUUGUUUAACAACAUGUACAUAACAAAUGAGAGGCGGAAUAGUUAGUGUUCGUAGUAUAUGGUGUUUUUUUGUAGAAAUUCCCCUCUCAAAUCUCAUCUUCCCCACAUGUAAAUGAAGGAACCAAGUUUAUAACAAAUAGAGCCAAGUAGCUCAGUUUCUUAUGUCCUCGCUUGAUUUGAAUCUAUUCAUUUAUUUUAUAUAAUUCAUGAAGUAUAAAUAAAUAUUGAAUGAAAUCAAGGUAUAUGAGAUCCUGG